GAUGAACGCUGGCGGCGUGCCUAAUACAUGCAAGUCGAGCGAAGCGGGGACGGGUGAGUAACACGUGGAUAACAUUCUAUAAGACUGGGAUAACAUCGGGGAACCGGAGCUAAACCGGAUAUUUAAAGAAGGAUCCGGGUUUCAUGAGCUAGUGGGUAAGGUAACGGCUAAACAAGGCAACGAUGCAUAGCCGACCUGAGAGGGUGAUCGCCCACACUGGAACUGAUACACGGUCCAGCCUCCUCCGGAAGGCAGCAGUAGGGAAUCUUCCGCAAUGGGCGAAAGCCUGACGGGGCAACGCCGCGUGAGUGAUGAAGGUCUUCGGAUCGUAAAACUCUGUUAUUAGGGAAGCGGUACCUAAUCAGAAAGCCACGGCUAACUACGUGCCAGCAGCCGCGGUAAUAC
rnacentral:rRNA from 1 species